rnacentral:tRNA from 1 species
AAGUCUGGGACACAUUUAAAUGCCUAACCCAAAUUUGCACUUUGGAAAUCCAAACU